rnacentral:sRNA from 1 species
AGCAUCGCGCUGGUGGAUUGCUGCCUAUAAUAAUAGUAUGCAGCUUUGUUUUGGGCUAUGUUGAUGAUAUAUCAAUAUAUAAUAUGCUAUAUAUUUUUAUUUUACAGUUUGGUUAUGUACCAUCUCAAUGGCCUCUGCUCUUAACACAUAUGUAAUAAUCUCUUCCCUCCCUCUCCGGCCGGUUUUAUUGUAAGAGUACUACAAUUAUCGUUGGGUGAGGAUAUGUGAAAACAAAGCUCCGGCUAUAUACACACAAGAUAUGUAUCUAGAGCAUAUCUGAU